rnacentral:rRNA from 1 species
AUUGAACGCUGGCGGCAUGCUUUACACAUGCAAGUCGAACGGCAGCGCGGGCUUCGGCCUGGCGGCGAGUGGCGAACGGGUGAGUAAUAUAUCGGAACGUACCCAAGAGUGGGGGAUAACGUAGCGAAAGUUACGCUAAUACCGCAUACGAUCUAAGGAUGAAAGCAGGGGAUCGCAAGACCUUGUGCUCCUGGAGCGGCCGAUAUCUGAUUAGCUAGUUGGUGAGGUAAAGGCUCACCAAGGCAACGAUCAGUAGCUGGUCUGAGAGGACGACCAGCCACACUGGAAAUGAGACACGGUACAAACUCCUACGGGAGGCAGCAGUGGGGAAUUUUGGACAAUGGGGGCAACCCUGAUCCAGCAAUGCCGCGUGAGUGAAGAAGGCCUUCGGGUUGUAAAGCUCUUUUGUCAGGGAAGAAAAGGUCGUGGCUAAUAUCCACGACUGCUGACGGUACCUGAAGAAUAAGCACCGGCUAACUACGUGCCAGCAGCCGCCGUAA